rnacentral:tRNA from 1 species
CCAUCGGUGGUUCAGUGGUAGAAUGCUCGCUUGCCACGCGGGAGGCCCAAGUUCGAUUCCCGGCUGAUGCA